CUGGCGGCGUGCCUAAUACAUGCAAGUCGAACGAACUCUGGUAUUGAUUGGUGCUUGCAUCAUGAUUUACAUUUGAGUGAGUGGCGAACUGGUGAGUAACACGUGGGAAACCUGCCCAGAAGCGGGGGAUAACACCUGGAAACAGAUGCUAAUACCGCAUAACAACUUGGACCGCAUGGUCCGAGUUUGAAAGAUGGCUUCGGCUAUCACUUUUGGAUGGUCCCGCGGCGUAUUAGCUAGAUGGUGGGGUAACGGCUCACCAUGGCAAUGAUACGUAGCCGACCUGAGAGGGUAAUCGGCCACAUUGGGACUGAGACACGGCCCAAACUCCUACGGGAGGCAGCAGUAGGGAAUCUUCCACAAUGGACGAAAGUCUGAUGGAGCAACGCCGCGUGAGUGAAGAAGGGUUUCGGCUCGUAAAACUCUGUUGUUAAAGAAGAACAUAUCUGAGAGUAACUGUUCAGGUAUUGACGGUAUUUAACCAGAAAGCCACGGCUAACUACGUGCCAGCAGCCGCGGUAAUACGUAGGUGGCAAGCGUUGUCCGGAUUUAUUGGGCGUAAAGCGAGCGCAGGCGGUUUUUUAAGUCUGAUGUGAAAGCCUUCGGCUCAACCGAAGAAGUGCAUCGGAAACUGGGAAACUUGAGUGCAGAAGAGGACAGUGGAACUCCAUGUGUAGCGGUGAAAUGCGUAGAUAUAUGGAAGAACACCAGUGGCGAAGGCGGCUGUCUGGUCUGUAACUGACGCUGAGGCUCGAAAGUAUGGGUAGCAAACAGGAUUAGAUACCCUGGUAGUCCAUACCGUAAACGAUGAAUGCUAAGUGUUGGAGGGUUUCCGCCCUUCAGUGCUGCAGCUAACGCAUUAAGCAUUCCGCCUGGGGAGUACGGCCGCAAGGCUGAAACUCAAAGGAAUUGACGGGGGCCCGCACAAGCGGUGGAGCAUGUGGUUUAAUUCGAAGCUACGCGAAGAACCUUACCAGGUCUUGACAUACUAUGCAAAUCUAAGAGAUUAGACGUUCCCUUCGGGGACAUGGAUACAGGUGGUGCAUGGUUGUCGUCAGCUCGUGUCGUGAGAUGUUGGGUUAAGUCCCGCAACGAGCGCAACCCUUAUUAUCAGUUGCCAGCAUUAAGUUGGGCACUCUGGUGAGACUGCCGGUGACAAACCGGAGGAAGGUGGGGAUGACGUCAAAUCAUCAUGCCCCUUAUGACCUGGGCUACACACGUGCUACAAUGGAUGGUACAACGAGUUGCGAACUCGCGAGAGUAAGCUAAUCUCUUAAAGCCAUUCUCAGUUCGGAUUGUAGGCUGCAACUCGCCUACAUGAAGUCGGAAUCGCUAGUAAUCGCGGAUCAGCAUGCCGCGGUGAAUACGUUCCCGGGCCUUGUACACACCGCCCGUCACACCAUGAGAGUUUGUAACACCCAAAGUCGGUGGGGUAACCUUUUAGGAACCAGCCGCCUAAGGUGGGACA
rnacentral:rRNA from 2 species